rnacentral:snoRNA from 1 species
GCCCCAUCGUUCAAGUCAGGGCGCCUUUAUGUCGAUCCCCCAUUGUGGAGAUUGGCUUUCCUCGAUUAAAGGUGCGCGUUACAACCUUGGGAGAUCAAGCCCUUUCCCGUCCUCAUCCUGCCAACGUUUUGUUGGCGGGUUGUUUCGGUUUCUCCCGUUUUGGGUAGUCACUUGGGAUCGGUGUAGGUUUCGUAUUGAGUUGAGAAUCAAAUUUCUCUUAUGGAGAAAGUUUCGUUUUGAUUCUCUUAGUUAUGAUUCACACAUUU